AGGGAAUAUUCCGCAAUGGACGAAAGUCUGACGGAGCGACGCCGCGUGGAUGAAGAAGGCCGAAAGGUUGUAAAAUCCUUUUGCUGGUGAAGAAUAAGCGUACGAGGAAAUGCGUGCGUGAUGACAUGAUCCGGUGAAUAAGCCCCGGCUAACUACGUGCCAGCAGCCGCGGUAACACGUAGGGGGCAAGCGUUGUUCGGAAUUAUUGGGCGUAAAGGGCAUGUAGGCGGUUUUGUAAGUCUGGCGUGAAAUGGUAAGGCUUAACCUUAUCCUGCGUCGGAAACUGCGAGACUAGAAUCACUGAGGGGAAAUCAGAAUUCCAGGUGUAGGGGUGAAAUCUGUAGAUAUCUGGAAGAAUACCAGUGGCGAAGGCGGAUUUCUGGCAGAUGAUUGACGCUGAGGUGCGAAAGCGUGGGGAGCAAACA
rnacentral:rRNA from 1 species